CACGUAGGAGGCGAGCGUUGUCCGGAAUCAUUGGGCGUAAAGAGCGCGCAGGCGGCUUGGCAAGUCGGGUGUGAAACCCCGGGGCUCAACCCCCGGAACUGCAUCCGAUACUGCGUGGCUAGAGGUAGGUAGGGGAGAUCGGGAAUUCCUGGUGUAGCGGUGAAAUGCGCAGAUAUCAGGAGGAACACCGGUGGCGAAGGCGGAUCUCUGGGCCUUACCUGACGCUCAGGCACGAAAGCUAGGGGAGCGAACAGG
rnacentral:rRNA from 1 species